ACUUUUACACUUAGAAAUAAAAAUGGAGCUGAAAAAGGAAUAAUUUGCUUUGUUACAGGUGCUUGAGCAGAUGCCCACACACAUUCCAUUGUCUUAAGCUGCAGCUGGAUCUUCCUGUGGAUCUGAAAAGCCUCAGUUGAUAUCAGACUAGCAAGUAACGUGGGCAAGACGGCCUGUGAGACCACGUGUGCCCAGAAAGGCAGUACAGCCACACAAGUACCCAGAAGAGUGAAUGCUCUGCUGGGCAAACAGCUGGAGUGUGAAUCAAAACAGCUGGAUCAUAGUGCCAGAUUACCACCAUCCACGUGACAGAGGUAUUUUCCAGAGUUCUCUUAUUCAAACAACAUGUUCAAGAAUUCUGGGGACAUAUUUGUGGAAGAAAACAGUGCACAUAAACUAUAGACUCUUUGUGGUUCUAAAUCAAAAGAAACUUUAAUAAGACUGUUGUGAUAGCAUUUGAAUUUGUAGCCACAAGGCCAACCAAUCUUUGUCUGUAACAUUAACUACUUG
rnacentral:lncRNA from 1 species